ensembl:lncRNA
CUGGCGGCUGCAAGGAGGGAGUUUUCAGCUAAUAUUUGAAAAAGUGCUGGUAGUGGGGGAUACUGUAGAUAAGUGAAAAAUUAACCUAUCACUGGCGUGUCAAACUAAACAUCUUAGUUUAAUGUGCUGUAAAAAGAGCACUAUCAACUGAGUGCCAUAGGCAACUAACAUUUAUUUCUCACAGUUCUAGAGGCUGGAACCGAGAUCAGAGUGUCAGCAUGGUUGGAUUUUGGUGAGGACUCCCUUCCUGGCUUGCAGGCAGCUAUCUUCUUGCUGUGCCUCACAUAGCAGAGAGAAAAAGGGCAGUGGGGAGAGAGCGAGAAAGAGAGAGAGAGAGACCAUGCAGAAGUUAUCCUCUUUUAAGAGCACUACUCCAGGCCCGGCGUGGUGGUUCAUGACUGUAAAUCCCAGCACUUUGGGAGGCCAAGAUGCUAUGAAUUCUAUGUGGCAUUUAUUUUGGUAACUGCUUACUAUAGGUGUUUUUAUGUCCACUCCACCGUCAUUCAAGUUCUAAUCCUCAGAAAUUCAUGUAGGAUUUUUACAAAGGUCCUGUCUUCUGUAUCUCUCCAUGGUUUCAGAGACUUAAAACAGUUGUGUUGUGGAGAUGGAAAGAGCUUGGAACAUUUGCAGGUAUGUCUUUGUUCAUUUCUCAAAUAUCUGAGAUCAUCAAUUCAUCCAUCCAUCCAUCAAUCCAUCCAUCCAUCAAUCCAUCCAUCCGUCCGUCCGUCCGUCCGUCCAAUAUUUAUUGUCUAUCAUGUGACAGGCUGACAUCGACUUUGCCCUUAUGAAACUUGCAUUCAGCAAUUACAGUGUUUGUGGAAUUUGCAAUCCAGUAUUACAUUAGCUUAGUUAAUGAAAAUGGUAAACAAAAAGAUAUUAAUCCCUCUUAAGUACAUCUGCUGGCUUUACAUCUGCCUCCUUCUUCUAUGAUACAGACUAGAUUGCAAUUAUAAUGCCUGAUCUACUUUUUCUCACCAUGUUUUAUUUUUCUCAGGGCUUUUACCAUUUGUGCAUGCAAAAUCCUGUAUUUCCUCCUAUUUCGUCAUUGUUUCUUCUGCUUUUUCUCUUCUAAUAUCCCCAAUAAGUCAGUUUAUGGUAUACAUAUCUCAGAAAGGAAAGGAUAUUGACUCCAGAAAAAGGCUAUGAAAAUGAAUUCAUAUACAAUAGUGCUAAUGAUAGAAGACAGAACCCUCUCCAUUCAUUCAUUCAGCAAAUAAAUAUUUAUAUUGAAACAUUUUCUGAUCAAUGGUAGAUAAGACAAAAUGGCCAUGUAAGUAAUAUGGAACAUAGAAAUGGCUGAAUAUGGCCGGGGGCAGUGGCUCACGCCUGUAAUCCCAGCACUCUGAGAGGCUGAGGUGGGUGGAUCACUUGAGGUCAGGAUUUCGAGACCAGCUUAACCAACAUGGUGAAACCCUGUCUCUGCUAAAAAUACAAAAUUAGCCAGCCAUGUGUGGCAUAUGCCUGUAAUCCCAGCUACUGGGGAGGCUGAGGCAGAAGAAUCGUUCGAACCCUGGACAGGGAGAUUGCAGUGAGCCGCGAUGACAUUGCACUCCAGCCUGGGCAACAAGAGCAAAACCCCGUCUCAACAACAACAACAAACAAAACAAGAAAGAAAGAACUGGCUGAAUACUGGUCAGUAGUGCUGAAACUUAGCUUCCGGAAGAAGAAAAGCCUUCCAUCGGUCUGCCCUGAGGUCAUUUGUUUCUUUCUCAUAAAGAGGUGGAGGGAAGCACGUGCAGCUGCAGGACCUCUUGGGCAGCUGCCUUUCUCCAAAUUUAAUUAAUGAAUCAAAGGUAAGUGCUGUAUCUCCCAGGUGCUUUCUGCCCUCAAAAUCACCUCUCUUGGUGCUCUCUUCAGCGUCCUUUGACUUACCAGUAAUAAACAAAGCAUCUUGUCAUUCCUGCAUCCAGCUGAGCAGACCCAAGUGUCUCCUUACCCUCUCCUCUCUGGCUUGAACUAGGUGUACUGGUGGUGAGCUAACAGGGAGCCCUCUCCUCCAGAGACCUGGCUAGGCCAUGGUUCCCAGACUUGCCUGGUCAGAGAUACAGAAGCACAAUCUCCAGGUAGAAGUCAGGGAACCUUUAUUUUUAAUAUGCUCACCAGGUUCUUCUGUAAUUUGAAACGUUUAGAAAGCACUGUGCUAUGGCACUUUGAGGUAAGUCAAUACAGUCUUAACUUUCCUAAACAUUAACAGCAAAACAAGCAAACCCACAAACUGAAAACAGAUAAAGUCGCAAUGUGAAAAAGAAGAAAAUCUAGAGAUUCUGAGUUUCAUUUUGCUAAUAAUCAAGUAUAAAUUUCUUCGCCUCUGUGUGUCAUAUGUAAAAUGAACAGGUUUAAACAGAUCCAUUAAUUUGUUCAUAUAUCAGAUCUGUAUUGAGGGCAUGCUGUGUGUUAGAUUUGGUUCUGUUCUCUUGGAAACAACAGAGAAAAAGUCACUCGACUGGCUUCAAAAUUGGCCCAUUUUUAUGUUACCUUGAGUCUAUCCAAUACUAUCACCCACUGACCUCCAGUACAUGAUGGAUAAACAGUACUUACUCUUGUCUUCUGAAAUGAUUAUUAUAAUGCCCCUUUCUUCCCCAGAGGGAUCCUGGAAUCCCAGCCAUGCUCUAGGGUUGUUUUAUAAAGUUCUGAAAUCUGUUCUAUUAAAAUGAAUGUUUUCCUAACAGAUGACCAGAUUCAUCGUAAAGACUAAGAAGAAACUAUCCUAACUCCAGCUAACUUCUACUUGGCUUUCAGAAUGAAAUGAGUUGAAAAGAACUUACUAUUAGAUAAAUGCAUUCUGGAGCCAAGAUGGACAAGUUGAAUAAGGUUUCUUCUGAAGUGAAAACAUGACAUGAGGUUUUCAAAUAUCUCAGUCAAGGAUCUUACAGUUUUUUAGGUGAGACUACAAAGUGCCCAGUUGUGUGUGCCAGGUCUUUGGUUGCAUUAUUGGAGCUAAAAGGGAUACUAAUUUUAUCUUAUUUACUCCAGUAUUUGGUUCUUAUUCGACAUGGCUUCCUACAUUGAAUCCCACCAACAAUUUGGAACACUUGUCUUUAAGAUUGAAUCUGUAGUAAGAUUAAGUGA